GCCCCGAUGGUGUAGUCCGGACUUCUAUUUGGAAGGGACAAACUAUCAUUCUGCCCUUUCGAGGCAGCGACCCGGGUUCAAAUCCCGGUCGGGGCG
rnacentral:tRNA from 1 species